rnacentral:rRNA from 1 species
CCUACGGGGGGCAGCAGUGAGGAAUAUUGGUCAAUGGACGCAAGUCUGAACCAGCCAUGCCGCGUGCAGGAAGACGGCUCUAUGAGUUGUAAACUGCUUUUGUACGAGGGUAAACGCAGAUACGUGUAUCUGUCUGAAAGUAUCGUGCGAAUAAGGAUCGGCUAACUCCGUGCCAGCAGCCGCGGUAAUACGGAGGAUUCAAGCGUUAUCCGGAUUUAUUGGGUUUAAAGGGUGCGUAGGCGGUCGGAUACGUUAGGGGUGAAAUCCCGAGGCUCAACGUCGGAAUUGCCUUUGAUACUGGUCGGCUAGAGAGUAGUUGCGGUAGGCGGAAUGUAUGGUGUAGCGGUGAAAUGCAUAGAGAUCAGACAGAACACCGAUUGCGAAGGCAGCGUACCAGGCUACUUCUGACGUUGAGGCACGAAGGCGUGGGGAGCAAACAGGAUUAGAUACCCGUGUAGUC